CGCUUGCGCGGCAAGUUUGACUGGGAUGGCGGCGGUAGGGAGCCCGGCGGGGGUGACCCCGGGAGCGGAGGGAGCUGCUGAACCGGACGGGAGCGCGGGGGCUACGGGCGCGAGGCCUAAAGGUGGAAGAGUUGUGAAGGCUCGCUACCUUCAGUAUGAUAGAAAACCUGUGGGGAAGGUUAAGUCUGGUUUCAAAUUACCUGCUUUAAAAAAAAAUGCUGGCCUCUAACAUAAUAAAAUGAAAGCUGGUAGAAGAAGGCAAUUUAAAAAAGU